rnacentral:misc_RNA from 1 species
GAUGAAGAACGUAGUAAAAUGCGAUACUUGGUGUGAAUUGCAGAAUCCCGUGAACCAUCGAGUUUUUGAACGCAAGUUGCGCCCGAAGCCUUUUGGCCGAGGGCACGUCUGCCUGGGCGUCACGCAUCGCGUCGCCCCCCACAAUUCUCCGUAAAGGGAACGUGUGUUUUGGGGGCGGAUAUUGGUCUCCCGUGCUCAUGGCGUGGUUGGCCGAAAUAGGAGUCCUUUCGAUGGACGCACGAACUAGUGGUGGUCGUAAAAACCCUCGUCUUUUGUUUCGUGCUGUUGCUCGCAAGGUAAACUCUUUAAAAACCCCAAUGUGUCGUCUCUUGACGACGCUUCGACCGCGACCCCAGGUCAGGCGGGACUACCCGCUGAGUUUAAGCAUAUCAAUAAGCGGAGGA